rnacentral:lncRNA from 1 species
GGUAGAGAUCUUCAGUUAAGCGUUUCCUUGACAGGUGUUAAAGCAGCAAGAGAGAUUUCUACACUAUGAGCUACUUUCUGUGGGGACUGAAAAAAAAGCACUCAUUUGAAACUCAACACUGCAAUGCUGACUACGUAUCUUGGCUUAAAACUUAAAACUACGUAGGUUUUGAUUCCCCAAAAGCCAGCCAGAAUGUGAAACCACGUUUUUGGUCCGUUAGUUCUUUUCUCUCCUUCCCAAAACAUUCUACCCAACUUCGUGUUCAAAUUUCAGGGCUGGGAUUUAUUGAAGAGUCUUCAAUGUUCUGUUGUUGCCUUUAGAUUUCGCAAAAAAACGUUUGGCCUUUUCAACAGAACACGCAGCAAACAAAAAAAAACUCAGGUAAAACGACAGAUGAAAUCAAAACCCACGAAUUUAUGGUGACCAUUUGUUUUUAAUACUUUCACUCACUAUUCUUUAUGUCUUCAAGAAAGCAAAAGAACGUAUUGUACCACACGUACUAAAAGACCUUCUUAAAAAUCAGUUUAGGCCACAUUCUAUUAUCUCCUUUAGGGAGAUAAGUGGGGGUUGAAAAUCAGUCUUCCUAAUACUUCUUGUAACUCAAGGUCGUUAGGAUAAAAAUAAAGUUUCCAACUCAAAGACACUUCGCAGCCCUCCACA